rnacentral:misc_RNA from 1 species
CCUUGUGGAGGAGGACGCCGAAGGUGGGGCUAAUGACUGGGGUGAAGUCGUAACAAGGUAGCCGUACCGGAAGGUGCGGCUGGAUCACCUCCUAACAGGGAGACAACAAAAUGUUUAAUAUUAUUAUUUUGUCACCUUAGGUCGAUCGGUAUCUCACGUUCUUAAUUUAUUAAGAAUUUCAUUUCCUAAGUUUUUCUAGGUCACACCCAUUAUUUUCCUGGGCCAUUAGCUCAGGUGGUUAGAGCGCACCCCUGAUAAGGGUGAGGUCCCUGGUUCAAGUCCAGGAUGGCCCAUAUCUCUAUGUUGGGGGUAUAGCUCAGUUGGUAGAGCGCCUGCUUUGCAAGCAGGAUGUCAGCGGUUCGAGUCCGCUUACCUCCACUGAUCACCACCUCUUCCAUAAUCGAUAGAAAGGAAAUGUUUUGAGUUGUGAUCUAAUUCUGAACGAAUCUAGCUUCCUAAUGAAAUUAUUAAGAUGCUGGACUCAUUGAAUUAAUUUCAUUGUUUUCAGAGAACCUUGACAACUGCAUAGAUUAUUUUUUAAAGACAAUAAGCAUCUUUUAAUGAUGCAGAUUUAUUAUUUGUGCGAAUGCAUUAAUAACAAUUCUAUUAAGCUGAUGCUUCAAUUUUGAAGUUAUUGGUCAAGCUACAAAGGGCUCACGGAGGAUACCUAGGCACACAGAGGCGA